ensembl:lncRNA
GGUAUAGCUAGGCAGGCACCCUGAGACUGGAGGAGCGUCGCUUUAAUCAAAGCAUGCAGCAGUGGCCAAGGCACGCCUAGGGCCAGGCAGUCGGACCUGAAAAACCAGCUGCUCAGAAUUACAGUUACCAUACAGCGUGGCGUCCAGCCUCUACACACACUCCACAGAGAAGCAACAGAAACCAUCCAACCAACCAACAUUCUGUUGUGUUUUGUCUUCUUCCAACACUGUGCGUGAAGUGUGUCGUUUCUGCGGGUCGUCUGACUUUUUGAAAGCUUUCCACUUUCAAAUCAUUUUUUUUUCUUCUACUUCGUUUGGCAAAGUAGCCCACUUCUCUCUGCUCCAAUCCCCUCCCCCCCAGCUUCGACGGAUUCCUGAGUGGGCUAUGUCCCCUGUGGCUGAGGGAGUGGGGGGCAGGUGCUUCUUCUGAGGCUCCUGGAAGAAACGUCUAGGACAGAAAAUCUGAGACAGGAAAUUGUUGAAGAUGACUUCAACUGUCUCACCUGUGACCAACUUCACUACAGUAUUCUCCAAUACCACAAUCACCACCAAGUCCAAAGAACAAAUACUCACUCAGAGUUCAGGGGCUAUGAUUGCUGUCAUUGUCAUCGGGAUCAUUAUCCUUCUAACCAUACUACUUGUCACCCUGAGGACAUACAACAGGUCAGGCUGCAUUUCAUAUAAAUAGGCCUCAAUUACAUGCUCAGUGACACAGUCAGCCAUUGCAGGUUCCCUUUCAAUUGUUUGUUUUCGAAAUCUAACAGAGCGAUUCACCAGAAUCUCUAGAAGCUCAAAGAACCAAUCACACACACACACGCGCGUGUGUGUCGGAGACAGACAGGUCUAGUGGCAAAAAAGAUGAGCCCCUACCCUCAUACUGAAGAGCCACUCGCCUGACCUCUGGUCAUUCUCAUCUCUCUUCCUCAUCAUGAAGAGUAGUACUCUAGGCUGCUCAGCACGACUUGAUCUGUUUUCAGGUUCAACUGUUCACAGGUGUGCUGCAAGGUUACGCUGCCAAGCGCAGGUUUUUCAGCUCUUGUCUUCUGCAUCACUGGUACUUCCUGUUUGAGUUUUUGGUUGUAAGCAGGAAUCAGAAGGAUAGAGAAGGAUAGAGUUAGGGUCUGAUUUGCCUUUUAUGUGUUUCUGUAUGUGGAGUAAAGUUGAUCUGGAGUUUUGUUGCCUCUAGUUGCACAGGUGACAAGCUGGUAAAAAAUGAGUUAAAGCGGAUUUCAGUUUUACUGCAUUAAAAUCAACGGCCAUGAGAAAAACUGCCUCUGAAUUUUCAUUUUCUUGUUUGCUUAUGGCCCUAUACAGCUCAUUGAGUGCGGUCUUAGUGUCAGCAUCGGUUCGUUGUGAUAAAUAGACAGCUACCAAAAAUAUACAUAAACUCUCUUGGUAAAUAAUAUGGUCUGCAGCUUAUCAUGCGUUAUUCUAACUCAGGGAAUCAAAAACUUGAGACUUCCGUAACGUUAGAGAUCGCACACCAGCUGUUGUUAACAAACAGACACACCUCUCCCCCUCUCGCCUUACCCAAGUCUGCCGUCCGGUCUUGACAAUGCAGAUAAAAACCAGCGAGUUGUAUAUCCAUGUCCUCGUUCAGCCACGACUCCGAGAAACAUAGGAUACUGCAGUUUUUCAGGACCCGUUGAUAGUUUAGUCUCGAACAGAGAUGAUCCGGUUUUUCUCCAGUGACUGCACGCUUGCCGACAAAACAGAGGGCAUUGGUGGUCUACAUGCUCACCGACGUAAUCUCGCCGCCUUCGCUUACCUCUCUUUUGCCGCCGUUUCGGGGAUCAGGGCAUGGUCCGGGGUAAGUAGAACAUCCAGAGCUGCUGACUCGUUGAAGUAGAAAACUUCAUCCAAAACGAGGUUAGUGAUCUGUGGAGCAGAGCACAAUUACUUUCACUAUGUGCGACUCAUGUCCCGGGCGUGCUGAAUGUAGGAGCGGACUUAUUGUCCAGGGGGAAUCAUCAUCACAGGGAAUGGUAACCAUCCCCAAGUGGUGAAACACGUCUUCUCCUAUAAGCCUCACACUCCCCAGUCUAGUCAGAGUGAGGGAAGAAGGCUCGUUUCUCAUCUUGGCAGCCCCUCGAUGGCCAGGCAAGCUCUGGUUAGCAGAGAUCAUUAUCCUGCUGUACGACGAGCCCUGGCAACUCUCGUUAUACAGGGAUAUUCUGACCCAAGUGAACUGAGACAUUGUCCACCCUCACCUGCAACACCCAUGGCCCUCUGGGCCUGGCCCAUGAGGUUCAAUCUGGAUGUGACAGGCCUGCAUCUUUGAGUCAUUGACUAUACAGAGUGCCAGGGCCCCUUCUACCCGCUCGCUGCGGGAAAACAAGUGGUGCAUUUUUUAGAAGUUGUGUGACCAAAAACAGAUCAUUCCUUACCAAUGUCCUGUAUCCGAGGUGUUAUGCUUUUUGCAGGACCUGAACAGGGUCUGGCACAGUGGCUUUAUCCACUGUUAAGGUCUAUCUAGCCGCUAUCUUGGCCUAUCAUAUACGCUUCAACAAUAACAUGGUGGGAAAACACCCCCUGUUAUGUUGUUUCAUGAAGGGGGUACAUCGCUUACGUCCAGACUUUUUAGCUGCUGGAAAGUGUGGAGAUUUAUGUCCUUUAACACUGUUUUUACAUUUGCAAAGAGAGUGAGUGAGUGCCUACAGGCUUUCCCAAUGUUUCCUUGUUGCCCAACCCUGCCUUGAUGCCUAAGGUCAGGGCAAUAACAAUUUUCUUGCCUUUGAGCUUGUGGUUUUCC